rnacentral:rRNA from 1 species
GACAGAGGGUGCAAACGUUGUUCGGAAUUACUGGGCGUAAAGCGUGUGUAGGCGGUCUGCUAAGUCGGGUGUGAAAGCCCCGGGCUCAACCUGGGAAUUGCAUUUGAGACUGCGUAGCUAGGGUGCGGAAGAGGGAAGCGGAAUUUCCGGUGUAGCGGUGAAAUUCGUAGAUAUUCGCAAGAACACCAGUGGCGAAGGCGGCUCACUGGCCCGAUACUGACGCUGAGGUGCGAAAGCGUGGGGAGCAAACAGG